UGGUGGAGUGAUUUGUCUGGUUAAUUCCGAUAACGAACGAGACCUUAACCUGCUAAAUAGACCAGUCGACUUUGGUUGACUGCUGUCUUCUUAGAGGGACUAUCAGCGUUUAGCUGAUGGAAGUUUGAGGCAAUAACA
rnacentral:rRNA from 1 species